rnacentral:lncRNA from 1 species
GAGAGGACUUCUGGUGCUCCCAGUGCUAUCCUUGCUGAUUGCAAUGAUACUCUUCAGAAGAAUAAAAAAGGAAGAUAAGCCCCAGCUGCAACUUCAAGGAAUGGCUCAAUGCUUCAUUCAUGGCUUGAAAGAACAGCAUUGCUAUCCACAGUGGCAGUUUGUGUCUAUGAACCUUCUUAGAUGGCUCUCAUGCUCAGAUUUCUGUGCUGCAGCUCAUUAGCAGGAGAGCUGCCUGUGGGGCUGCAGCAGGUUUGUAGUACAGCAGGAUGUGCACUAAAAUAAAAAUCAGGUUAGGAGUGGUGUUAUCCCAGUGCUGCCUGGGCACUGGCAAUUAAACCUGGAUGAGAAUAAAACACCUGGACUUUGUGACUCGAGGGAUGAACGUUCUGCUUGCUGAGGGCUGUUCCUGCCCAAGAAAGCACUAAAACAGGUGUAUAAAUCCUACCUUGUUCAGUGGGAUUUAGGCACCUGCUUAAACUUAAGUGCUUGUUUAGAGAGUUUCCUGAAUGAAAGCCUGACAAUUGUGCCCGAGAGUAACUUUUAAAUUAGUUUUAAUUUGCUCAUCAUAACCAGCUGUCAUGAGUAUGUGCGUAAAGAAAGGGUUUGAUUCUGGAAAGACGAAAGGCUUUUCAGGACCUGGGCUUUUAUGUACGCACCCUUGCUGGACAGCCAACCUGCUUUUAUUGUGUGUUGCUCUGGGGUCCCACUGGAGCUGCAGUGCCAGCCCAGCCAACUGCCCUGCCAGCAGCUGACACCACCCACCUGCACCUCACCAGCAGAGUCCCAUCAGAGGCAAUCUGCAGGCUGCAGCAGAGGAGGAGAAAGUCCAUGCUGUAGGAUGGGCUCUAGUAAACGGAUACAUUUACAAGAGGCCAAGGAUACAGUGGUGGAUCUUGCUUGUCAUUGGUGAAAAAGUCCAGAAUGCUGUUUCUGCUCACAAGAGAAGGAAGUCCAGGUUCAUGAGGCUUCAAGACUUGGGAAAGGACCUAGAAAAUACCAAGGUUGAUCUGCUUUGUCCAUGCACAGACUGUUUGGAAAUUGAUUCCAGCUACAAGGCUUGGAUUUGGAUCUGGAUCAAAACAGUCUUUAAUUCAAAGGUCUCCAGGCCCAGCACUGGAGGAUGGGGCACUGCCAGCUGCUGCAUGAGGGCUGGAGCCAGCAGUGGGGCCAGCAGUGAGAAAUGGGCUGCCUGUACCAGGCUGAAGGAACAAGGACAAAAUGCAGAAGGAGGGAUGCCUAGUGUGUCUCGGGAUUUGGUACCUGCCUACUUUUCUCAGGAGUCUGCAAACCUCAGUUAG